CUGGUUGGAACAGAAGCUCCAUGAAGGCAGGGGUUUUCACCUAUUGCUGAAUCACCAGUUCUGAACACCUGACACACAGAUGGUGCUCAAUACUUCUGCAUGGACUGAGUAAAUGAAGGCAGAAAUUGAGACCCACGGGGAUUAAGCUCCUUUUAUUUAGCCGGUCAAGCAAAAUACCUCUUGGGUCACAUUCAGCCCACCAGUUCGGAAGUCUGGUGGAGCAAGAGAAAAGGAAUCAAGGAGAACAUCCUGAAAGACAGUCAAGGGAACAGGGGCAGCAAGAACAGAGCUGAGGAGGAGGAACCAGCAGAGUAGUGUGGUGAACAGCAAGAGAGAAUUUCAAGGAGUGAGUGGUCUACAGUGUUAAAUGCAGCAGAAAUUUCCAGGAGGAAGAACAGGAAGGUGAUCACUGGCACCGCUUCUAGAAGCAGUUUCAGUGCAGUGGUGGAGAUUAAACCCAGACAGUUGUGGGCGUUCUUUGUGGAGCUUACCAAAGGUGUUUCCUUAAUUCA